GCCACAAUGCCAUGGACGACAGGACUCCAUCCCUUUUUAUGCAGGUGGGGGCAUUAUUCUGUAGUGUAUACGCUCCACAUAGCCUUUAUCUGUUCAGCUGGUGCACACGUUGGUGCUUCCAUAUCUUGGCCACUAGGAACAGUGCUGCAGUCAUAUGGCAGUGUAGAUGUGUGUUCCACAUACUGAUUUCAUCUCCUUUGGACACACACUCGGUAGAGAGAUUGCCAGAUCAUAUGGGAGCUUUAUUUUUAACUUCCGUGGGAUUUCCAUGCUGCUUCCCACAUUGUCUGGCAUUCCUGCCAGCUGUGUGCUGGGCUCCUUUUUCUUCCCAUCUCUGACAGCACCUCUUAUCUUUUGUCUUUGAAAUAGCCAUUGCUAGGUACUUGAGUUUUCAGCUCCACUUCCCGGAUGAUUAGUGAAGCAGAGCAUGUGUCUUUACUAUUUGUGUUAGUCAUUUGGACAUCUUCUCUUGAGAAAUGUCUACCCGAGUCUAUCACCCAUUUUAUCUUGGUGGGGAUUUUUUUGGUCUGUUUUUUGCUUCCGAUUUAUCUAUUAUUUUGCUAUUGCGUGCCAAAGUUCUUUAGAACCAUGGACCAGACAGACGUAGACUCUGAACUUUCUAGUGUUACAUACACACUUUUGUAGAGGAAUACUCUCUGGUGGAAAGGGAUCAAAGCUUUCUUGCUUCUACUGAGGCCAUCAUGCAUAAAACAUCAGUGCCUUCCAUGAACUUCUCUCAAAUGUGGAACAUAUCACAUACCUGUUUGGACAUUAGUUCUUAGAUUCCUGUUUAAGAUUGUUUGAUUAGGCAAUUUUUUCAUGGAGCCCAAGAAUGUGACUUUCUAACAAGGUUCCAGGAGACUCCACCACAGCUAAUCUUGGGGCCCUGAAUCAAGGAUCAUGACAGUAAAUGGUUGUGAUUCUAAGGAUGGAUAAGCAGAAUUGAGAACCAUCACUUUAGAGGUUGCAGGGUUUUAUGGUGAGGGUAAGGUAGGGAGGGGUUGAAUUGGGGUAGGAGACUCCUUUCCCUUUUAACUGUUUGGAUGGCAGAUAUUUCUGUCUAUCUCAAGUCAUACAUGUUGUGUUUAUUUGGUAGAAUUGACAUAGCAAAGAGUAGGUGUCUUAUAUAUCAACAAUUAUGUCUCUCAAUAACAGAGGCCAGCAGUCCAGGACCGAAAUAUCUGGAAGGUGGCUUCCUUCUGGUGCCUCUCAGGGAGGAGUCUACCUUCUUUCCCCUUGGCUUGUGGAUGUUUCUCUCUCUCUCUUGCUCUCUCUCGCUCUCUUGCUCUCUCUCUCUCGCUCUCUCUCUCCCUCCCCUCCAUUAGGUCUCCUCUGUAUGGAGGUGUGGUCGUUUGAAUAUAAUUGGACCUAUAAUCUCAUAGGGAGUGGCACUAUUAGGAGGUGUAGCUUUGUUGGAACAGGUGUGGCUUUGGAGGAAUUGUGUCACUGUGGAGGUGGGCUUUGAGGUCUUUUGCUAAAGCUUCAUUCAGUGUCAUCUGCAAGAUGUAGGACUCUCAGCCACUGCUCCAGCACCAUGUCUGCCUGCAUGCCACCAUGCUUCCUGCCAUGAUGAUAAUGGACUGAAACUGUAAGCAAGCCACCCCAAUUAAAUGUUUCCUUAUAAUAGUUGCCAUGGUCAUGGUGUCUUUUUACAACAAUAGAAACCCUAACUAAGAUAGUUGGGGUGGAAGUUUCUGUGUUUAAAUUUCUUUCUUUGGUACAACAACAGCCAUAUCAGAUUGGAGCCUACUCUGAUAUUCUCAACUUAGCUUGAUUAUGUCAUUUGUGUGUGUGUGUGUGUGUGUGUGUGUGUGUGUGUGUGUGUGUGUGUGUGCAUGCGCGGGGACACAGGGGUGGGAGGGUGGACUUGGGAGGAAUGUGAAGUGAGUGUGAUGGGGUGCGUUGUACAAAAUUCCCAAAUAAUUAAUAAAAAUAUUAUGUUGGGGAGAAUUUUUAUCUUCAAAUAAAGUCAUAUUCCAAGGAAUUGGAGACAAGACUUCAAUAAGUGAAUUUUGUUUUAUUGUGGAAGGAGAGCAGAGGGAUAUCAAUCUCCUACACAGAUGUUCUUUAUAAAAUUGAGACUAUCAAGGGUGGGGGAGGGGUAGGCCCUACUCUCUUCCCAUUUCAAACCAAAGCUUAUUCUAAUCAUAGACAAUCAGUCCUUUGGAACAGUCCUUUUCAACCUAUGGCACAGGCUCUCAACUUUCCACAGUGAUUUUGAGGCAAAGGAGUGGCAUGCCAGAAUGAACGCUCAUGUCAUCACUGUCCAACCAGAAACGAGUCACGUGUUGCCAGGAGCCCAUCAUGGGACACCAGGAGUUACAGCUGCACACAGACCCCAAGAAAACCUGCACAUCCUUUCCAGUCUAGAUGACAAAGAACUUCCCAAGAUGUUUACAUGGAUUCGUCAUGCUCUGAGCACUGGAGAGCCAGGCCUAAUGUGUUUUUGGUUUUUCUAAGUAUAAUGUAUUUUAAUGUAAUGCGACAAUAUUUAAGCUGUGGGACACCAGGUUUUUAACAACUUAAUUCUCUAUGCUGAAGUAGCACUGUUAAUCAUAUACUUGGGGAUUGUUUUUAGGCAGAGAAAAAAUUGUAUAAUCAGACCUUAGCAUGAUUUUUAUUUCCUUGUCAGAACAUAGCUGCUAUAGUAUCCUGACGUGUCCACAGUGGAGAAGGAAAACUGAAAUAAAUGUUUCCCUUUUAUGAGGGGAAUGAAGAACAGAGUUUCUAUGAAAGAAGUAACUACAUAUUCAACACUUUGCACACGUCACCUGAAACUUUAACGUGAGGGUGAAGCUGAAUGGAAUUUCAUGAAGUUCUGUGUAUCCUUUUAUAUCUUGAUUUUUAAAUUCUUACAAAAUAUAACAAUAAAGAAUAGCAUGGUUUCUACAAAAAUUAUCCAAUUUCUAAAAACUUAAACUCAAACAAAAUCCUAGUUAGCUGAAGUCAGAGCAAAGUUUAUGUGUAAGUUGAUGACUGUAAAUUUAGGUCCCCCACCGGGAGUCACUAGGUGAUGCCUGAGGUUGUUAAGUAGAUUCUGAAUACACAUGUGGAAAUGUAUUGCUAUUAUUAGUUGGUUCCUUAGAAGGAACCAAGGAAAAGCACUUCUGAGUUCUGUAGACUGUCUCUGCACACUGAAACAAGCUGUCGGGGUACCCUCACCCUCAUUUCUAAAUUCAGUCUUUGGAGAAUGGAGAACUCUUUGUGGAGAAAGGUGAACAGACUCUGAAUUCA